rnacentral:lncRNA from 1 species
AAACUGUAAACAGGAAUAAUGUUCAGCAAAGUAAGAUUUACAAAUAAGUCAACAUGACGGAAAUGGUCAGUUGACCCCUUUAGGAGUUAUUGCCCUUUUAUAGUCAAUUUUUAACCAUUUUUCGUAAAUCUUAGUAAUCUUUUACAAAAAUCUUCUCCUCUGAAACUACUGGGCCAAAUACUUCCAAACUUUAACUGAAUGUUCCUUAGGGUAUCUAGUUUGUAAAUUGUAUCCGAAGUUAUGAUCUAUCAACAAACAUGGUCGCCAUUGCUAAAAAUAGAACAAAGGGGUCAAAUGCAGUUUUUGGCUUAUAACUCAAAAACCAAAGCAUUUAGAGCAAAUCUGACGUGGGUAAUAUUGUUUAUCAGGUCAAGAUCUAUCUGCCCUGAAAUUUUCAGAUGAAUCAGACAACCUGUUGUUGGGUUGCUUCCCCUGAAUUGAUAAUUUUAAGGAAAUUUUGCUGUUUUUGUUUAUUAUCUUGAAUAUAAUUAUAGAUAGAAAUAAACUGUAAACAGCAAUAAUGUUCAGCAAAGUAAGAUCUUCAAUUAAGUCAAUUUGACCAAAAUUGUCAAUUGACCCCUAAAGGAGUUAUUGCCCUUUAAAGACUUUUUUCACAAUUUGUUCAUCAUGUUGACUUACUUUAAAAAAUCUUCUCCUUUGAAACUGCUGUAUCAAUUUCAGCCAAACUUGGGCUAAAUGAGUUUCAGAGUAUCUAGUAUAAAUUUUAUAUUUUAUUUCCUUGUAUGUCAAGAAACAAAGCUCGUAUGGCUAAAAUAGAACAUAAGAGAAAAUGAUUAUUUUUUUUGGCUUUUGAAGAAAAUAGGACGAUCCAAAAAACAUUUAAAUAAAUUGAAAAGCCAAAAUAAUCAUUGAUGAGAGAUUUAACCAAAAGAAUUAAGGUGAGCGAUUCAGGCUCUUGAGAGCCUCUUGUUAGUUUUUGCCCUUGGACAGAUCAAAUAUGUGCAACGCACGGAGCAUUGGGACUAAUAAAUUUAGGGUCCAAAUCAUACAUCAUAUCUAUGUAUAGGCGAAAAAAUGUAAAACUAUAGUAAUUUUCGAAAUUUUUUGUAUUUUUACAAAAAUCUUCUCAUUUAAAACUCUGGUACCCAACACCUUAACUAAAAUUAAUUUGGCUCGUUAAAUGUUCAUAAAAUUUGGACAAAAUAUUUAUUUUAACCCUUUGACAAAAAUAGGAAAAUUUCAAAAAAAAUAAACCACACACUUUAUCGGAAAAUUUUCAUUGGACAAAUAUCAGUUUGACUUACACCGAUUUUAAACGUGAUUGAAACGUUAAGCCGAUUUUUAAAGAGCUAUUUCCUUGUAGUGUUUUGUGCCACCUUUAAUGCAAAUUUGACAAAGGGUAAAAAAAUUCAACAGGUUAAGAUCUAUCUGUCCUAAAAUUUUCAGACGAAUGAGACAACCUGUUGUUGGGUUGAUGCCCCUGAAUUUGGUAAUUGGUAAUUUUAAAGAAAUUUUGCAGGGUUAUCAUCAUGAGUAUUAGUAUAGAUAGAGAUAAACUGUAAACAGCAAUAAUGUUCAUCAAAGUAAGAUCUACAAAUAAGUCAACAUGAUCAAAAUGGUCAAUUGACCCCAUAAGGAGUUACUGCACUUUAAAUUUAAUUUAUAACAAAUAUUCGUAAAUUUUUAUAAUCUUUUACAAAAGUCUUCUCCUCUGAAACAACUGAGACAAAUUUUACCAAACUUGGCCACAAUCAUCAUUAGGGUUUCUAGUUUUAAAAAUGUGUCCGAUUACCCUAUAUAUAUAUAUUCCAACUUAUUCGCUAUUCAUAAGCUUGCAGCUGCUACUCACCAGUGUCUUAGCAGAGAGUUGAUAAACCAGGGGUAUGUCAAGAACGUCCUUUUCACAAAAAAAAAAUCGGAAGGUACCAAGACCUUGAUGAUUAAUAUUCCGUAUCAACUUCAUGAAAAAUAGACGACGGUCUUGAUGUAUAGAUUCUAGGCACUGACGUUGUUUGUCCUUUUGAUAACGUGUUAUAUCUACUAAUCUUUUUUUUGUCUUUAUGAAUUUUAUUUUUUACUGUUUAGUCUGUUGUUUUGUUAAAUCCAUUUGAUGUGACUCUGUACUUAUAAAUCUGCCAUUGGGUUAUUAUCUUAUUGUGUUAUGGUAAUAUUUUUAUAUUCUUUUCUUUUAUUAAUGCUUAUGUGCUUUGUCUUUGUUUCUUUGUUACAAAUGAUGUGGCUCUGUACUUAUACAUCCUCUCAUUGUGUUAUUAAAGAAGCACUAAUUGUCCAAUUCCUGUUCUUCGAUUUGACUCGAUUUUCAUAUUUAACUUAUAACAAUGUAAAACAUUUAUCCAAAUUAUAAAAAUCUAAAACAAACUACUUAUGUUGCACGUGUGUAUGUUAGUCUAGAAUCAUUCUAAUUAACUAUCGAGUUGACAUCCGAAGACCUCUGAGGGUCAUUUAUGCGAUUGAAACGUUACUAUAGAUAAAGAUAAAAGAGAAAUUCUGCAAUCUGAUUUUCCUAAAAUUGUUUAGUUUCCUAUUAUAUAUCAGAAUAAAAUUGAGAAUGGAAAUGGGGAAUGUUUCAAAGAGACAACAACCCGACCAAAGAGCAGACAACAGUCGAAGGUCACCAAUGGGUAUUCAACGCAGUGAGAAACUCCCGCCCCCAGAGGCCUGCCUCAGCCGGCCCUUAGCAAAAAUGUAUACUAGUUCAGUUAUGAUGGACGUCAUAAUAAACUCCGAAAUAUACACAAGAAACUGAAAUUAAGAAUCGUACAAGACUAACAAAGGCUAGAGGCUCCUGGCUUGAGAGAGGUGCAAAAAUGCGGCGGUGUUAAACAUAAAAAUAUAUAUUAAUCAUCGUUUUUACAUUAAUAAGAAACAAAAUUGUGAGUAGAAUCAUUUAAUCAAAUGAUUUACCUAUGUUUCACUUUCAUUGUUGACAUUCUUUUCCAUUAACUAACUUUACACGCACAAUACAUGCGUUAGCUGUCUCUAGAUAAGGGUUAAAUUGAAGUUUAAUCAAAUAUAGAUUCAAUGAGGUCGAAUUAUUCACUUGCAAGUGAAUAACUCAUCAUCCAUGUAUCUUAUCUUAAUUUUGCAAAAUUGAACCAUACUGGCUGCUAAAAGCGAAUUACUAUUUCACUAUUUCACUUUCAUUAUAAUUGAAUAAAAACAAUCAUAUGUUAGCU